AACGCCAGAACUACAAUAAUGAUGAAAUUCCUCUUUGACGGGCCAAUAUAAUUAUUGGCCAUUUUUUU
rnacentral:sRNA from 1 species